rnacentral:rRNA from 2 species
AUUGAACGCUGGCGGCAGGCUUAACACAUGCAAGUCGAGCGGGGACUUCGGUCCUAGCGGCGAACGGGUGAGUAAUGCCUAGGAAUCUGCCUUGUAGUGGGGGAUAACGUUUCGAAAGGAGCGCUAAUACCGCAUACGUCCUACGGGAGAAAGGAGGGGAUCUUCGGACCUUCCGCUAUAAGAUGAGCCUAGGUCGGAUUAGCUAGUUGGUGGGGUAAAGGCCUACCAAGGCGACGAUCCGUAGCUGGUCUGAGAGGAUGAUCAGCCACACUGGAACUGAGACACGGUCCAGACUCCUACGGGAGGCAGCAGUGGGGAAUAUUGGACAAUGGGCGAAAGCCUGAUCCAGCCAUGCCGCGUGUGUGAAGAAGGCCCUUGGGUUGUAAAGCACUUUAAGCGGGGAGGAAGGUUCGCUGGCUAAUAUCCAGCGGAAUUGACGUUACCUGCAGAAUAAGCACCGGCUAACUCUGUG